CGGGUGAGUAAUGUCUGGGAAACUGCCUGAUGGCGGGGGAUAACUACUGGAAACGGUAGCUAAUACCGCAUAAUGUCUGCGGACCAAAGCGGGGGACCUCCGGGCCUCGCGCCAUCAGAUGAACCCAUAUGGGAUUAGCUAGUAGGUAAGGUAACGGCUUACCUAGGCGACGAUCCCUAGCUGGUCUGAGAGGAUGAUCAGCCACACUGGGACUGAGACACGGCCCAG
rnacentral:rRNA from 1 species